UAGCCUGCCUUACAAAAUUACUCGGAAACCAAUCUAGAGGUGUUGCUAAUUGACGUGAAGAUCCAGUCAUCAUCCGGCGAGGAGCCGGAGGCCAGAACUACUACACAGCUACGUGUGUUUGUUCGUCGACAACGACUUGAUGGCGUCUCCAAACGCAGCUUUGAACCCGUCAGUUAUUUCUGGGCUCCUAAACUCAAUUGAGCUCCUCAAUGGGACUAACUUUCCUACAUGGAAGGAGCAGAUUUCCAUUAACCUUGGGGUCAUGGAUCUUGACUACGCACUUAGGGAGAAGGCUCCAGUUCCCUUUGUCCUUGUCCUCUGAUGAUGAAAACCAUGCUGAGAAAACUAAGGUUUAUGAGGCUAACAAGGAGAAGUGGGAGCGCUCCAAUCGAUUGUCCCUCAUGAUCAUGAAAAGCUUAAUUACUCUUGGGAUUAUGGGAGCAAUCCCCGAUUCCGAAUGUGCUAAGACUUAUCUGGCAUCGGUGGAGGAACAAUUUAAAGGCUCCACAAAAGUCUAUGCCAGCACACUGAUCAUGAAAAUGCUCACCACUAAAUAUGAUGGUAAAAGUGGCGUGAGAGAACAUAUCAUGACUAUGAAUGAUAUGGCCGCAAAAUUAAAGGGCAUGGACAUGGAGAUUUCUGAGGGCUUCCUGGUUCAUUUCAUUAUGACUUCUCUCCCUAUGGAGUAUGGUCCCUUCAAGAUUAAUUAUAAUCACUGUUCAAGAACUCGGUCGAGUUACCAUUUAAAUGCCCAUUUAAUCGCUACUCAGUGCCUAACUGAGGCGAGUAGCACGUACUCGUUUCAUUAAAUGGUCAAGCCGAUUAACUGGCAUUUAAUCGGUUGUCAGACGAUUAACUGGUUGUCAAACCGAUUAAUCGGUGAUGUGUCAGGUAACUGAAGCGGCAUCCAUAAAAAAAGGGGGUAAGCGAAGCGACAAUCCAGGCCAUUAUGAGUUGUGAGAACUAUUUGAGUAUUUGUGGUCAGUGAACCUUAUUACCUAUUAUGCUAUUUGUGUUGAACCUUGUGGUGAAUUAUUCCAUGUUCACAUGUGUGGCUGCUAUUUAUCUUGUUAUGUGUGGCUGCAUAUUGUCAAGUUGUGUGGCUGUCAUUUUAAUUUAUCUUGUCAUGUCUCAUGUGUGGCUUCUUGUUGUCACAUGUAUUGCUGUCAUUUAAUCAUUUAUCUUGACAAUGACAAGUUUAGAGCAUAUACAAAUGCAUAUCUAUCAUCAAUUUUGUAGGUUUGUUGCCUUCCUGUUUGGAUGCAUCAUGAUCAAACCAUCCAGGUAACAAUUCUACCUCUUGUCCAUGCUUUUUAUAGGCCUACGAGCUACGAUAUUAUAUUUUAGUAUAAAUGUAUAAUACAUAGCUAUGAGCAUUGGAUUAUGUGGUGUACAAUACGUGAAAAACUAGUUACAUGUUGCCAAUAUAUUCUCAUGUGCAGUCGAUUAAUGAUCGACCGAUUAAUUCAGUUAAAUGGCCGAUUAACCAAUUAAUCGCUAAUCAGUAGUCGACCGAGCAGUUACCAGUUACCGAGUUCCCGAACAAUGAUUAUAAUACUCAGAAGGAGAAGUGGACCAUGAGUGAGCUCACAUCUAUGUGUGUUCAAGAAGAAGAGCGGCUUAAGGUUGAAAGGAUAAAUUAUGCUCAUCUUACUUCCAUAAACUUAGGGAAAAGAAAGUCUCGGGGUGAUGGGAAACCUAAGAAGAAGAUGAACAUCUCUAAUAUUGAUGCAAGCAAGCUAGGGACCUCUGGCACCAAGGCCAUCGCUACGGAGCCUAAGGGUCCUAAGUGUCGUUUCUGCAAGGAAGAUGGGCAUGUCAUGAAAGAAUGUGAUGGCUUUAAGGCAUGGUUUGCUAAGAAGGGGAUUCCAUUCCGUGAGGACACUCAAAAGGAUGGAUCAAAAUCUUAGAUUUCCAAGUGGCAAGUUGAUUGAUGAACAAUGAUUAGUAUUUUUCCUUAAGUAUUGGUGAUUGUUCAUCCUCCGACUUAAUAAUACUCUUAUGUUCCUAGCAGACUUUAUUUUGUUUCUCUAUGAG